CACUGCAAGCAUGGCGGGAGAAAUACACAUUUGAUUUUGCUGAAUAUACAAAUCUAUCAACUGAUGUGUUGAACAUCGUUGUUUUGUAGAUGUAUUAACGUGUGGAGAUUUUAUACGGAUAUACCAAAUCUACUCGUGGUGUUUUUCUACUGGACAAUUCUCUGAUUGUCACCACACAGGUGAGAUGAGCUGUAAAGGGAGACCCCCGGGCUCGGUGACGCAGACCGUGGCAGGGAAGUUCCACGUCAGCCUGGAGGUGUUGUGUCGAUGGAGUGACGGCCUCUUCUACCUGGGGAAGAUCAUGAAGAUAGACGAUAAGGUUGGCAAGUGUCUGGUCCACUUUGAAGACAACUCUGAACAUUGGGUGCUUUUCAAGGACAUUCAGCGAGGGGCCAUCAAGGGCGACAUUGCCUGCUGUAUAUGCCGAGAUGAGAGGUCGGAUGUCCCCAAUGAAAUAGUACUGUGUGACAACUGUGGACUAGGCUACCACCAGCAGUGUCACAAUCCCCCAAUAGAUGACGCCAUCCUGCAGCCCAGCGUGGACUUCAUGUGUAGGCUGUGUGUGUUUGCUACCACCGUCAAGAGAGGAGGCGCUCUCAAGAAGGGACCAACAGCAAAGGCUUUCCAAACCAUGAAGCAGACAUUUCCAUACAAUUUGAACAAGUUGACGUGGGAUGCGCAACACAAGACAAACAGCCAGCAGUGCUACUGUUACUGUGGGGGGCCUGGAGACUGGUACCAGCAGAUGUUGCAGUGUUGUCGAUGCAGACAGUGGUUUCAUGAAGCCUGUACACAGUGUCUGGAGGUGCCGCUGUUGUGUGGGGACAGAUUCUACAUGUUCGUGUGCUCCCACUGUAACCAUGGCCCGGAGUACAUCAAGCGGCUGGAUAUGAAAUGGGUGGACAUUGUCCACUUGUCUCUAUUCAACCUGACCGUGGAGGGCACCAAGAAGUACUACGACCUGAUUGACGUCAUCCUGCCCUGGGUGUGUGACAGAUGGGACAACCUGCAGCUGGACAAGUUGAACUGUACGUCAAACAAGGAAGUGGAGAUGGAGGUGCUGCAGUCCCUGCAGACGCACAAGUCCAGGUUCAGUUGGGGUCGUGAGAUCAAGAAGAAGAUAACGCUGUGGGGGUUGAGAGUCCGCGUCCCCCCUCCUGCCCCGACCGUCAUCCUGCCAACCGACGGACACAUCUCGGAUGAGGUCAUGUCUACUCUGCAGAUGAAGGGACGGAAAACAAAAACUUUUGUACCCAUAGAAUGCAGCUCUCCAAUUCCAGUGAAGUAUACCAAGAGGAAAUGCAUGGAUAUCGAUGAUUCCAUCGUCUUUAAGACCAAAAAAGCCAAAAGACUGCUCCUUGAUGCAAGAAAGGUAUGGAACUCCCCUGACAGCCUAAGCCAGAUGUACAGUGGUUACAAUGGAUGCCGUAAACGUUCCUUCAGUCGCCGCUCCAUCAGCCACAAUUCUGAUGACUACGACAGCGGCUUCGAGACAGCAUCCCACUGUACGCUCGAGAGCAUCAUCCCACCACCAAUCAACUUCGAGGGAUCCAACCAUCCUUUCAAGACUGUUGUGGAGCGAAAUGAAGAAAUUGCCAAGCACGAGCGCCUUCGGGCCAGGUUACUGGAUUUAAGUCGGUUAAAUUCUGACUGUGACAAUUCCUCUCAAUACUCGCUGGACUCGUCCCAGUUUUCCGUGGAUGACGAGUCCAUUGAUUUGAUAAGUGAGGACUAUGAAGAAGAAGAGCAGCCGGAGGAGUUGCCCAAGAAAAGGAGCAGACGCAAGAAUCAGAAAUACGACGCCAUGCUCGACGGAUACGCGAGAAAGAUACCCAAAAAGAUAUGGGGUUUACCCCACCCGGUGAAGAACGUGGUCGAUCCACGUGCUAUACAUGCGGUAAGAGCUCAGGAAGUUAAUUUCCAGAGUCUGAAGUCAAGUGUGAAGCAGUAUUUUGGUGCCGCGGACCGUCUGGCUCACGGGGAGAAGUUCCACGUGUUGGCGAGACGAGUCACACCGAGCAGCAAGGUCCAGUACCUCGUGGAGUGGGAGGGGCUUGUGUCAUAGUAGACGGAUACUCUAGGUUCUGGUCACUGACUGAAGCAUCAAGGAAUUGACACUUUGUGCCAUGAUUAGGGUUUUUUUAUAUCGGAGGUCUAGUUGCGAUAAGUUUACGAUUAAUACUACUCAAGUUUUGAAGGGGAUACCAUGACUUCAGGCUUUCUUCCUACUUUAAGCUGACAUGCCGUCAUGUGACUGAAGUUCUUUUCAAUGUGACAUUAACCAAAACUCAAGGAUAGGGAUACCAGGGUUUAACAGGCUUGAAAAAGGCUGUGAAUUUGGAUUCUGCCUUGAAUCAAUUUUUUCAUCAAUGAAGUAACAUCAUCAGAAACAACUGAUCCGUUUCCUGUCCAAUGAUCGGCUGCUUCUGUUAAGAGUUAAAGUUUGGGCAGUUUGAAAAAGCUGAAAUUUUUCAAGCACCCUGGAUAUAAAGAUAUUAAUAAGGGUAGUGGGGUAGCCUAGUGGAGUAAGUGUUUUCUUAUGACGACGAAGACCCAUGUUCUGGUCCCCGUUGCUGUGAUAUGGCUUGAGUAAAGCUGUAAUGAACCGUUUCUGGGCCAAUAAAUUAUUGUUAGUUGUUAAUUGGUGUGCAACAGAACAUAAGGUACACCCUAUCAAAAGUUGAAUAGGUCUGUCCUGUCCUGUCCACACAGUAUGAAACACAACUGGUUCUCAGACAAUGAACUUCUGCCGAGAUAUAACGACCUUGAACAUGUAGGUUCUGGGACAAGGUCAUAGUCAGCAAUCUUUGUUUUCUGAGCAGAACUAAAAUAUCUUUUUGAAUUUUAUCAGAAUUCCUUCCCCCAGCUAUUCAACCUACUGUAUUGGUCGACACAUGGGUUGAUGAUGUGCAGAGAUAAUAUUGAGAAAAGUGGGUGUCUUGAGCAAGACCUAUUAACCUUCGAACCAUGCCUAAUAAUUCAACAUAUGGUACAGGGUGUGCUUUCCCAGGUGCACACUUUCGGCAAUUUGUUUAUGGCCCCAAAGCUGUCUUACUGUCAAUGAAAGGUUUAUGAUACGGAAGUUGGUGAAGUGUCACACCCUAAUGAUGUCAUGCAGUCAGUGACAAGGAAUUUGUCCACCCAUCACUUCGGUAACAAGUUUGUUUUGAAAGAAAACUGGUAGCCCCUCCAUCGAAAACAUCUUAAGCUUGUUGGUUGUUGACAGCUUAUUUUCCGUUGCCUGAGAACCAGUUUGUAAUAAUGUAUUGGGGUUUUUUUUAAAUAUAUUAUUAUUUAUUUUUCAUUUUUUUUAAUACCAUGGGAUCGAUCUUGAGUAAACACAAGUGCAAAUGUACAAAGAAUGAGAAUAACUACUUCUAAAAAAAUCCAAAUAUUUGAGAAAAAACUGAUCACAAGUACUUCUUUUUUUUUUCAACAAAUCGAAAUAGUGACUGGACAGUCUCCUAUCAACCUGAAUGUUCAAUAUUUAGUAUUUAGUUCAAAUCAUGAUUGUGCCAUUUUAUUAUGAGAGAUGUGUGUUGGAAGUGUGCCUGACCAAAUUAAUUGCUACUGCAAUUAUUGUAUCUAUAGGAAUAUAGAGUUAAGAGUUGUGGCUCUAGAUUCUGAAGUAGGGUAGAAAAAUCAGAUUUGAAACAAGCAGAAAGUACUCAAUUUCAUAAGUCUAAACAUUCAGCUAAUUCAAGAAACAAAAUAUUUAUACCAUUUUCCCAUUUCUUGGCUGGAACAAAAGAAUGUGAUGGUUGAAAUUUGUGGUGAAUGAAGAAUGUAAAUUAAUUUCUAUUACCAAAGAAAUUAAUGUUGCCAUUAAAUUUUGUACAUAGUUACCUCCCUUUACUACCAGGAAGCCAAGCUCCUCACAGCAAUAUCCCAUUCACGGAGCUCUCUGUACUAUCACUGCCACAAGUGAAAGCUCCACACUGUGAUGGGUGGCAAAACCAUGCUUGGAGUUGAAUUCGCGAUGGUCUGACAGUUAUGUUUACAAACAAAUGAUGCCUGUCGUGACGCAGAAUACUCUUACUCCUGCUAAAAAUAUUUUCUUUGUCAGUUUGAAUUUCUGUUUUAUUAGAACUAUCAUGUAAUUGGAAUAGUAAGAAUGUAAGGAGGAAGUUCGUUGAUUUUUCCAUCAAACAAACAAGAAGGUAAAUUCAUCGAGGAAAUAUGGUCAGUCGUAAACCUUUUCAGAAUUACCUGUGAUGGCAUUAUCAAAGACAUAAACAAAAGUAUGAACGUUACUACAUUUGGGGUUAGAGGGCAGAUUACAAGGUUCUUGUAAUGGCCGCACACUCACUGGCUGCAGCAAUGUUACCAAGAGUAACGAAGGUGUCACGUGCUGGGUAGGAGCUUGCCAGGUAACAAUGAGUGGAACAACGCGGUGGAAUGUGGAACACAAAAGUUCUUCAAAGACUUGCUUUCAAAUUAACCUGAAAUUUGUAACAGGUUGACAUUGAAAAACACUUUAGCGAGAAGCUCUUCCAUUUAGCCAUCAUUAGCAGAAGAGGUACAGUGUUUAUGUGGAGGUGUUUGUGUCAGUCAUAUGUAAAUAUGUAUAUACAUAUACAGAAAAUAUUACCCAUUUACAAAUAAAAAGAUUGAUUGUAUCAUAAUGAAAGUAACCAGUCACACUGAAGCAUCUUCAAACAAAGCCCCGACCAAUUUUCUUGUCUUAGAGAUCUGACCAAUUUUCUGUUUAAAAAAAAUAAAUAAAAAAAUAAAAAAUUAUAAUUCACAAUCGACACUAAAAUAUUGAAUCAUUUCUCAGUGGAAGGGACCAACUCUUCCUAAUUGUCACUUGCCAUCAGCAGAAGUGUAAAUAAUUUCAUUGGAUGCUGCAUCGCUGCCAAUCCAAUCACUUCAUUUUUCCAUUUCUGAAAAUGGCACUUUAUCGAGGCCGGAUGUGAAGUUAUUGUUGGUGUUUCUUGUAUGGUUUGGGGCGGUCAGGUAGCCUGGUGGUUAAAGCGUUCGCUCGUCACGCAGAAGACCUGGGUUCGAUUCCCGACAUGGGUACAAUGUGUGAAGCCCAUUUCUGGUGUCCCCCACCGUGAUAUUGCUGGAAUAUUGCUAAAAGCGGCGUAAAACCAUACUCACUCACUCACUCACUCUUGUAUGGUUUUGUAAAUGUCGACUAAGUGCUUCAGCUCACAGGGAAAAAAACCAGAACAGCUUUCUGAUGAAGAAAAUAGCUGAAACGAAGCUGACUGACACAGUUGGUAAUUUGUCUUUGAAUUUCAUUUCAACAUGCUGUGCCGGAUCUUCUUGGAGUAGCAGGAGUUGUUUUCUGUGCAGUUACCCCAUAAAUCAGGAAAUAUUUAACAUUUGCAAAGGUUUUUUUUCCCCUCCUGCAUCCAUCCUUCAUGGCUUCAUAAACCUGUAAUACAUGUACAAACAUGUCUUUAUAUUCAUCUAGACUUCUUUUCUUUUUCUCUUCUUUUUCCUUUCCAUCCUGCCAAUUUGGUCCAAAGAAUCUGUAAUACAAGAAAACAUUGGUCUUGCCUAAUUAGUGAAUGCAAAUUCGCCUUGUCAAACCCUUCCCAGUGAGAGAAUGAAUGCAAGGGGGUGCACUCAGCCACGAGACAGUCUCACCACCCCAUUCUCACGUUAGCCGGCUCUUACAAUAAGCCUGAGAUGCGGGGAUGCCAAGGAAUCCUCACAGGAUCUGUUCCACAGAGCAACCUUAGUGCUAUCAAUAAAAAAAAGGAAGUGGCGUAGCCUAAUGGUUAAAUUGUUGGCUUGUCACACCAAAAACCCAGGUUUGAAUCCAAAAAUUGUGUCAAGCCAGUUUUUGGUGUCGCCUGACAUCCUAUGGCUGGAAUAUGGCUAAACGCGGCCUAAUACCAAACUCGCUCACUCCUCUCUACUUAACGUGUGCAACAUUAUAGGGACUCACCAUUUUAUGUUUUGGGAAGGGGAGGGAAUGUGUUGCCAGAACUUUUCUGGGGUGGCCCAGUGGGGACUGCAAGUUAUGGGCCAUGUUCCACAAAGUGAUCUCAGCACUAUGACUAUCAUAAGUCUAUGUUAUAGUAUGGGAGUUCCCAUUGUAAUGCUAAGAUCCCUUUGUGGAACGCCUUUUCCUUUGCUAGAAACCUAUAAUCAUGGGUUUGAAUUCCUGGUUUGGCGUGAUUAUGUUUCUAGAUUUGUUAGCACCAUAUUUAUGAAUAAGUGUCCCCAACUGGUAAACAUCAACAUGCAUCAGUCUGGGCUUUUCUCCCAGAUCAAGUGGACACGCCGUGAUAUAACUGAAAUACUGUUCAAAGCGGCCAAAAACACACAACACUAUUGGAUUCCCAAAAGGGUUUUGGCUCUUGGUUACACGAUUUGCAUGUUAACAACUUAUUUUUACCAAUUCACACUCUGAACCAAGCACAAGAAUGAAGGACGGGUGACCAUUUCUUCCUUGGAGCAAGGCUCUGAAUAAGCUGAAGAUGCCAGAAUUCUUGAACAGUUUUCUUUGAUUGACAAACUGGAAGUGUGACAUAAAUUGUAGCCACAAUGCUCAGUAAAUGGUAACAAUGAAUACUGUUAUGAGGACAAUGUAAGAGGAGUCAAUGUGUGUGAAUUGUAACAAAUGUUAUAUUUGGGAUAACACUUUCUGAGUAUAUUGUUUAUAUACUACUCAAAAUAAGUUCAAGAACACCUGAUGUUUUUUACAUAGAUAUAGUUAGUCUGUCACUUCUUGGUCAAUAUGGGGUCGGUCGGGUAGCCUAUUGGUUAAAGCGUUCGCUCGUCACGCAGGAGACCCGGGUUCGAUUCCUGACAUGGGUACAAUGUGUGAAGCCCAUUUCUGGUGUCCCCCGCCGUGAUAUUGCUGGAAUAUUGCUAAAAGCGGCGUAAAACCAUACUCACUCACUCACUUGGUCAAUAUGACAUGAUAUCAUUGAAUCAACCAAGUCACAGAGCCUGACAGAUUAACUAUAGCUAGUAUGAAAAAAUCAGGUAUUCUUUAACUCCUCGGAGGUGUAUACAUAAUGCAACAGUCCUUAUUAGUUAGAAUAGGUCCACAGACUCCAGAGAUGAGCACCGAAUGUUAAGAAAUUAAAUCUGUGAAAUGAAAAGCAUGUUGGUCUUUCAUACCAUGUUUUAAUGUGUGAGUGUGUAUUUAUGAUAUGUUUUAUCAAUUUUAUAUUAAACUAACUUUUAAGA
rnacentral:misc_RNA from 1 species